rnacentral:rRNA from 1 species
GAGGCAGCAGUAAGGAAUAUUGGGCAAUGGAGGAAACUCUGAUCCAGCCAUGCCGCGUGAAGGAUGACGGCCCUACGGGUUGUAAACUUCUUUUCUCAGGGAAGAAACCUCUGGAUUUAUCCGGAGCUGACGGUACCUGAGGAAUAAGCACCGGCUAACUCCGUGCCAGCAGCCGCGGUAAUACAGAGGGUGCAAGCGUUAUCCGGAUUCACUGGGUUUAAAGGGUGCGUAGGCGGAUUAGUAAGUCAGAGGUGAAAGCCCCGGGCUCAACCUGGGAAUUGCCUUUGAUACUGUUAGUCUUGAGUACAGUUGAGGUGGGCGGAAUGUGACGUGUAGCGGUGAAAUGCUUAGAUAUGUCACAGAACACCGAUUGCGAAGGCAGCUCACUAAACUGUUACUGACGCUGAGGCACGAAAGCGUGGGGAGCAAACAGGAUUAGAUACCCUGGUAGUCCACGCCCUAGACUAUGAUCACUCGACAUUUGCGAUAUACUGUAAGUGUCCUAGCGAAAGCGUUAAGUGAUCCACCUGGGGAGUACGUUCGCAAGAAUGAAA